AUGAUGCAGGAGACAAUAGCACUGAUGAUUACUCCCGUCGGAGAUGGUAGCUCAUAUGACUGUUCUUGCAAACGGUUCCACAUGAAUGGGGUAUUGUGCCAUCACAUUCUGAAGGUUAUGAUGCAUACAAAUGUGCAAGCAAUUCCAGAAAAAUAUUUGAUUUUUAGAUUGUCUGAGGAGGCAACCAUUCGGCCUGCUAGAAGCAAGGUUGUUUGUUCAGAUGUGCCAGAGACAAAUACUUUACGAUACAGCGAGUUGUGCGUAAUGAUGGCUACCCUUGCGUCAGAUGCAUGCUUUGGUUCUGAAACAUACAAGAUUGUUGAUGGUGGGGUGGACGAGUUAAGCAUGCUAGUGUGGAAGUUUAGGUUGUCAGGUGGAUUGCCUGAGAAAGAAGCACCACAACCAGAAGCUAUAGCCUGCAGCAAUUUCAAUAAUCCUCCAAAAUCUGCGAAAAAGGGGAGACCAAAAAAGAAAGAGAAGAGGAGGAAGCCGUUGGUCGAGCUCCGACAGGAGAAGGCCAAGAAAGAAGCAAAGAAGAAGAGUUUGUGCUCGUACUGUUGCGAGGAUUGGCACAACAAGGCUAGGUGCCCAUAUUUGGCGCUCGAAAUCCAACGGCAAAAGGAAGAAGCAGAGAGGCUGAGACGAGAGAUGGAGCUCACCUUGUGA
rnacentral:rRNA from 1 species